AGUCAAGUAAUUAAGUGCAUGUGGUGGAUGCCUUGGCAGUCAGAGGCGAUGAAAGACGUGAUAGCCUGCGAAAAGCUCCGGGGAGGCGGCAAAUAUCCUUUGAUCCGGAGAUGUCUGAAUGGGGGAACCCACCUACUUUAAGGUAGGUAUUGCAACAUGAAUACAUAGUGUUGCAAGGCGAACGAGGGGAAGUGAAACAUCUCAGUACCCUUAGGAAAAGAAAUCAAUUGAGAUUCCCUCAGUAGCGGCGAGCGAACGGGGAUCAGCCCAUUAAGUUAUGUGUGUUUUAGUGGAACGCUCUGGGAAGUGCGAACGUAGAGGGUGAUAUUCCCGUACACGAAAGGGCACACAUAAUGAUGACGAGUAGGGCGAGGCACGUGAAACCUUGUCUGAAUAUGGGGGGACCAUCCUCCAAGGCUAAAUACUCCUGACUGACCGAUAGUGAACCAGUACCGUGAGGGAAAGGCGAAAAGAACCCCUGUGAGGGGAGUGAAAUAGAUCCUGAAACCGCAUGCAUACAAGCAGUGGGAGCACCUUCGUGGUGUGACUGCGUACCUUUUGUAUAAUGGGUCAGCGACUUAUAUUCAGUAGCRAGGUUAACCGUAUAGGGGAGCCGUAGAGAAAUCGAGUCUUAAUAGGGCGUUUAGUUGCUGGGUAUAGACCCGAAACCAGGCGAUCUAUCCAUGAGCAGGUUGAAGGUUGGGUAACACUAACUGGAGGACCGAACCCACUGUCGUUGAAAAGCCAGGGGAUGACUUGUGGAUAGGGGUGAAAGGCUAAUCAAGCCUGGUGAUAGCUGGUUCUCCCCGAAAGCUAUUUAGGUAGCGCCUCGGACGAAUACCAUAGGGGGUAGAGCACUGUUUCGGCUAGGGGGUCAUCCCGACUUACCAAACCGAUGCAAACUCCGAAUACCUAUGAGUACUAUCCGGGAGACAGACUGCGGGUGCUAACGUCCGUAGUCAAGAGGAAAACAAUCCAGACCGCCAGCUAAGGCCCCAAAAUCAUAGUUAAGUGGGAAACGAUGUGGGAAGGCAUAGACAGCUAGGAGGUUGGCUUAGAAGCAGCCACCCUUUAAAGAAAGCGUAAUAGCUCACUAGUCGAGUCGGCCUGCGCGGAAGAUGUAACGGGGCUAAAACUAUGUGCCGAAGCUGCGGAUGUWKACUUWGUNYAMGUGGUAGGGGAGCGUUCUGUAAGCCGAUGAAGGUGURUUGAGAAGYAUGCUGGAGGUAUCAGAAGUGCGAAUGCUGACGUGAGUAACGACAAAACGGGUGAAAAACCCGUUCGCCGAAAGACCAAGGGUUCCAGUCCAACGUUAAUCGGGGCUGGGUGAGUCGACCCCUAAGGCGAGGCCGAAAGGCGUAGUCGAUGGGAAAAUGGUUAAUAUUCCAUUACUUCUGUGUAAUGCGAUGAGAGGACGGAGAAGGCUAAAUCAGCCUGGCGUUGGUUGUCCAGGUGAAAGGAUGUAGGCAUGUAUCUUAGGCAAAUCCGGGGUACUCUAUGCUGAGAUCUGAUAGCAAGCUGUACUUGUACAGCGAAGUGGUUGAUGCCAUGCUUCCAGGAAAAGUCUCUAAGCUUCAGUUACACAGGAAUCGUACCCGAAACCGACACAGGUGGUCAGGUCGAGUAGACCAAGGCGCUUGAGAGAACUCUGCUGAAGGAACUAGGCAAAAUGGUACCGUAACUUCGGGAGAAGGUACGCUGUUGUUGGUGAUGGAACUCGCUUCCUGAGCUGACGACAGCCGCAGAAACCAGGCCGCUGCAACUGUUUAUUAAAAACAUAGCACUCUGCAAACACGAAAGUGGACGUAUAGGGUGUGAUGCCUGCCCGGUGCUGGAAGGUUAAUUGAUGGGGUUAGCGUAAGCGAAGCUCUUGAUCGAAGCCCCAGUAAACGGCGGCCGUAACUAUAACGGUCCUAAGGUAGCGAAAUUCCUUGUCGGGUAAGUUCCGACCUGCACGAAUGGCAUAAUGAUGGCGGCGCUGUCUCCAGCAGAGGCUCAGUGAAAUCGAAAUCGCUGUGAAGAUGCAGUGUACCCGCGGCUAGACGGAAAGACCCCGUGAACCUUUACUGCAGCUUGACACUGAACUUUGACCUUACUUGUGUAGGAUAGGUGGGAGGCUUUGAAGCUGGAACGCUAGUUCCAGUGGAGCCGUCCUUGAAAUACCACCCUGGUAAUGUUGAGGUUCUAACUCUGUCCCGUGAUCCGGGACGAGGACCGUGUCUGGUGGGUAGUUUGACUGGGGCGGUCUCCUCCUAAAGAGUAACGGAGGAGUACGAAGGUGCGCUCAGCGUGGUCGGAAAUCACGCGUAGAGUAUAAAGGCAAAAGCGCGCUUAACUGCGAGACCCACAAGUCGAGCAGGUACGAAAGUAGGUCUUAGUGAUCCGGUGGUUCUGUAUGGAAGGGCCAUCGCUCAACGGAUAAAAGGUACUCUGGGGAUAACAGGCUGAUACCGCCCAAGAGUUCAUAUCGACGGCGGUGUUUGGCACCUCGAUGUCGGCUCAUCUCAUCCUGGGGCUGAAGCAGGUCCCAAGGGUAUGGCUGUUCGCCAUUUAAAGAGGUACGCGAGCUGGGUUUAGAACGUCGUGAGACAGUUCGGUCCCUAUCUACCGUGGGCGCUGGAAAUUUGAGAGGAUCUGCUCCUAGUACGAGAGGACCAGAGUGGACGAACCUCUGGUGUACCGGUUGUGACGCCAGUCGCAUCGCCGGGUAGCUAUGUUCGGAAGGGAUAACCGCUGAAAGCAUCUAAGCGGGAAGCCUACCUCAAGAUAAGAUUUCCCUAGGACUUUAUGUCCUCUAAAGAGCCGUUCGAGACUAGGACGUUGAUAGGUUGGAUGUGGAAGCAUAGUGAUAUGUGAAGCUGACCAAUACUAAUUGCUCGUGAGGCUUGACUAU
rnacentral:rRNA from 1 species